rnacentral:tRNA from 1 species
GGAGAGGUGGCUCACUGGUUAAGAUCACUGGUUUGCUCUUCCAGAGGACCUGGGUUCAAUUCCUAGCGUCCACA